UACGAAGGGGGCUAGCGUUGUUCGGAAUAACUGGGCGUAAAGCGCACGUAGGCGGAUUGGUAAGUCAGGGGUGAAAUCCCGGGGCUCAACCUCGGAAGUGCCUUUGAUACUGCAAGUCUAGAGUCCGGAAGAGGAGAGUGGAAUUCCUAGUGUAGAGGUGAAAUUCGUAGAUAUUAGGAGGAACACCAGUGGCGAAAGCGGCUCACUGGUCCGUAACUGACGCUGAGGUGCGACAGCGUGGGGAGCAAAAAGU
rnacentral:rRNA from 1 species